rnacentral:lncRNA from 1 species
GGGGGGAGGAGGGAGGGAGGUGGAGGCAGGAAGGAGUUAACGGUGACCUAGCCAAAUCCUGGAAGGGAGGAAGUGGGGGAGGAAGUCCACCCCCCAGCCAGGAAUUCCUGAAAUUGGAGGGUGGGGUGGGUGCGACCUCAGGAGCAGUGGGGUGACUCUCUAAAGGGGGCUCUGGGGUCACGGUGCCAUUCAGAGUCCACCAGCCCCAACUGGCAAGCCUGCUUCCCCCCUCUCCACUCCCAAGCAGCUCCUAGGCCCAGGGGAAACCUCUGGGAUGCACCAGAAUUCGGAAUGAGGUGACGAUGGGGUGACGGUGCCAGUAGAGGGUCUUUAAGAUACACAGAGGAAGAGACAGAAAUACGAGAGAGAGAGGGAGGGACAGGAAGGGAAAGGGCAAAGAGGUGCACAGAGGCCGGGAGAACCACGGAGUUGGAGGCAGAGAGCGCCGCUGAGCCUCAGAGGGACAGGGGCAAAGGGAGACAGGGAGAAGGGAUACAGAGACGGAGAGACAGAGCCAGAGACCGACGGAGAUCCGGCAGAGACACAGAGACAUCCAGAGAGGCACAAGGAGAGGCACGCCGAGAGGGGGAGAGGACCGCAGGGCUCUUGAGGGACACAGAAAGCGAGUCGACCAAGCGCCCAAGCGACCUGCAACGCACAGAGGAAUAGAGACAUUUGCCUUUCUUCCUCCUUCAAGGACACAGUCGGGGAAAGCAUCAAGGGAAGUAUCACGAAGGCUGUAGCCCCUCCCGACAAAGAACCCGGGACGCGUCCUAUCAGUUUCAAGACAAGCCCUGCAGACCCCUCUCGUCAGAACGAGCUUGGUCAUUCCAAGCUCCUCCUAAGAAGAAAUUCUAAGGGGCCACUGGCAGGUGAGGAUCCCCUUGUCUCCUGGGCUCACCUGGUGGGAAACAACUAGCCAUUCAGGUCUUAGGCGGGAGCAUUUAUGAAGGGACGUUUCAGGGGGGUGGGAACGGUGAAGAAACCCACGUAGGAUGAGGCGGCAGCAGGGGACCAGCCACAGUGAGAAUCAAGCCAUGGCCACCCUUAGGGCAGGGAGCUGGGGUUUGGAGAGGAGGCCACAGAACUCGAGGCUCUAGGCAG